GCUUACAGCCAUAUCCCGUUGAAAGCACCGGUUCUCGUCCGAUCACCGAAGUUAAGCAAUGUAGGGCCUAGUUAGUACUUAGAUGGGUGACCGCUUUGGAAACCUAGGUGCUGUAAGCA
rnacentral:rRNA from 1 species